GUUGGCUCUGGGCGCGGACGUCCAGCAGGCCACGUCGGUCGGUUGCUGGUGGCGGUACAGCGGGUCACCGUGGAUACAAUAGCAGCAGUACUUCUCAUGAUAGUUCACCAAAUCACGAGUUGCGGCUAAUAAUGGGCAAGGAAAAGCAAGCAGCCACAACAACCAACCGAGGGCAAUUCAUAACAGAAACCAAGAUUGUAUAAUGUGAGGUUUACACCCGGAGGAAGAACACAAGGAGAAAAAAUAUGUAACCCAUGGACAGCCUAACAUUCCUGUAUGCACUGCACACUCAGAGACAAUGAUUCAGUUAGAAGCAGUUCCUGAAGAAUUAUGAGAGUGCUAAAGUUUCAGAGGAUAUUUGUCUGUUCGGCUAAUCACCUUAUGACCUCGACAAUCAUGUUGAAUGUGGAGAAAUUGAGAGGGUUGGCAGAAAGAGAUCUCCUCUUGGUGAUGCUCAUCAACAUUAUUGCUGCAGCAUUACAGGCCAGUGGCUAAAUCCUUGUGUUCUGCGCUGCCUCGUGCAUCAUCAUCAUACAUUGAGAGAAACGAUGUUGAGGCCGGAAUGCACCUGAAAAUGCACAGAGAGGGAGGGGCAGCCCAGUGCAUGUAGCUCCCGCUUGCGCAGGGUCCGGGGAAGGGUCCGACCACUUUGGGUCUAUAGUACGCAGCCUUUCCCUACAUUUCUGUAAGAGGCUGUUUCCAGGACUUGAAAAUGCACAGAGACUUUGUUAAUUGUUUCUGCUGUUGUUUGCCUGCCAACAAGAACUUAAGAGGGCACAGAAAUU